ACCGUUCAAAUGGUUCCCGCAAGCCACAACAAAUUCUUAUAAGCCUCCGGCGCGCACAAAUCCACCGUCUCUGUCGCCGCCCCUAUCACCACCGUGCACGGUGCAAUCAGCAUCACCACCGCCUCUGUCCGCCGUCGUCUACCUAUGCCGCAUCUGUUUUUCGCCACAGCCAUAACCGCCAUCUCAUCGGUGCAACCAUGAUUUCGUCACCAUUGCGUAUUGCCACCGUCACUGGCCCACCUCGCAGAACUGCCAGACGAUGAAGAUGAUAGUGAUGUGGAGCUGCUAAAUCUUAAUGACAAAGUGGUCG